AAGAAAGAGGAUUCGGUUCUACAGCAAUGGCUGCAUUUGUUUGCAUCAUUAGGUGAUCGUGCAAAGAGCUGGGAUAACGUGGCUGUGUUAGUUGACGAAACUAUUAAACCACAAGCUCCGUGUAGCCCAUUCCUACAGACCCCAACACGCCAGAACAUUAAACCAAAGGCCACUCUAAUAAGGAAUAAGAACACAGCAAACAGACAAUCAGCCCCUGAACAAAGGAUCCGCAAGGGCGAGGGCUACUCGCUCUCCCAUGUGGCUGAAAUCAAUCCUGUUGAAAGACCAUGUGCUU